UCUGGUUGAUCCUGCCAGAGGCCACUGCUAUCGGGGUUCGAUUAAGCCAUGCGAGUCGAGAGGUGCAAGACCUCGGCGCACUGCUCAGUAACACGUGGAUAACCUACCCUCAGGUGGGGGAUAACCCCGGGAAACUGGGGAUAAUACCCCAUAGAUCAGGGACGCUGGAAUGCCCCCUGAUUGAAAGGUCCGCCGCCUGAGGAUGGGUCUGCGGCCGAUUAGGUUGUUGUUGGGGUAACGGCCCAACAAGCCUUUGAUCGGUACGGGUUGUGGGAGCAAGAGCCCGGAGAUGGAUUCUGAGACACAAAUCCAGGCCCUACGGGGCGCAGCAGGCGCGAAAACUUUACAAUGCGAGAAAUCGUGAUAAGGGAACCCCGAGUGCCCGUAAAUUCGGGCUGUCCAUCAGCGUAAAAAACUGGUGAAGAAAGGGCCGGGCAAGACCGGUGCCAGCCGCCGCGGUAAUACCGGCGGCUCGAGUGGUGGCCACUAUUACUGGGCUUAAAGCGUCCGUAGCUGGAUUGUUAAGUCUCUUGGGAAAUCCGCCGGCUUAACCGGCGGGCGUUCAGGAGAAACUGGCAAUCUAGGGACCGGGAGAGGUGAGAGGUACUCCAGGGGUAGGAGUGAAAUCCUGUAAUCCUUGGGGGACCACCUGUGGCGAAGGCGUCUCACUAGAACGGCUCCGACAGUGAGGGACGAAAGCUGGGGGAGCAAACCGGAUUAGAUACCCGGGUAGUCCCAGCUGUAAACGAUGCGCGUUAGGUGUAUCGGUGACCACGAGUCAUCGAGGUGCCGAAGGGAAACCGUGAAACGUGCCGCCUGGGAAGUACGGUCGCAAGGCUGAAACUUAAAGGAAUUGGCGGGGGAGCACCACAACGGGUGGAGCCUGCGGUUUAAUUGGACUCAACGCCGGGAAGCUCACCGGAUAAGACAGCUGGAUGAUAGCCGGGCUGAAGACUCUGCUUGACUAGCUGAGAGGAGGUGCAUGGCCGUCGUCAGUUCGUACUGUGAAGCAUCCUGUUAAGUCAGGCAACG
rnacentral:rRNA from 1 species